ACAAAUUUUAUUUACUGUUCAUUUUGCCCCGAUAUUUAUCAAUAAUGAUGAAUUUUGCAAGCAAUAACAUUAUUUCUUUUAUUGUUUUAGAUAUUUAUUGAAGCUGAAAAUAAUUGGGGAUUUAGAUCCAUACGCAAUUCAGUCAGAAUUGGAUUUUACAGUAAAGUGCAGAUCAUCAAGUUACUAUUAUAGAUAUUUAUACAUAUCUGGUGGAAUCUCGCAGUUACUACUCUAAGCAGCAGAUGAAAGCAUACAAAAGCCUUCAGGCACAUAAAUAUUUUACAGCUGGAUUUGUUUUGAAUGGAGUAAAAAUUGUUAAUGAUUUCCUGAUUUCCAUAUUAUUGUUGGAAAGGUGAAGCAUUUCCAAAAAUCUAAUGCUAAACGACUAAAUGCUUGGGUGGGGUGAUAGCCAGUUCUGAUGACAUAGCAAAUGCAGAUUGUAUGUGUAUGGCCGGUAAUAGUGAAGUCUGCAGCAAUCCUAUUUUUAGCUGAGUAUGCCCAGGGCAAGACAGACGAAGAAGAACCCAAUGCAUGUACAUAUGUUACAGCUACAUGGUUUGAAGAUAGCAACAUAUGCAUUCUCUGAUGAAAAACUAAUGAGUUUUGAAACUGUUCGGUCAGAGUGCUUGUUGUGCUCACUAAACGAACUGAAAUAUAAGAUGGCUUUGGCAUUGUGUUGCAGCGAUAUGAAAAUGGUUAUUCAUUUUUAAUUAUAAUGUACUUCUUCAUCAUGAGUAAUUAUGUAUUGGUCUUUUAAAUGUGUAUUUAUUUUUGUAAUUAGUAUCAACUUGUAAUGAUAAUAUACAUUUAUCGUUUAAGGUAUGACUAUGUUUUGACUCUAAAAUAAAUGAUUUAAAAAUCGAA